rnacentral:rRNA from 1 species
CCUACGGGUGGCAGCAGUGAGGAAUAUUGGUCAAUGGGCGGAAGUCUGAACCAGCCAAGUAGCGUGCAGGAUGGCUGCCCUACGGGUUGUAAACUUCUUUUAUAUGGGAAUAACAUGUCUUACGUGUGGGGUUUUGUAUGUACCAUAUGAAUAAGGAUCGGCUAACUCCGUGCCAGCAGCCGCGGUAAUACGGAGGGUCCGAGCGUUAUCCGGAUUUAUUGGGUUUAAAGGGAGCGUAGGUGGCUUGUUAAGUCAGUUGUGAAAGUUUGCGGCUCAACCGGAAAAUUGCAGUUGAAACUGGCAGUCUUGAGUACAGUAGAGGCAGGCGGAAUUCGUGGUGUAGCGGUGAAAUGCUUAGAUAUCACGAAGAACUCCGAUUGCGAAGGCAGUUCACUGGACUGGAACUGACACUGAGGCUCGAAAGUGUGGGUAUCAAACAGGAUUAGAUACCCUUGUAGUC